ACGUUUGCGUCCUGUUAGAAGAUGAUCUACAGUUGAGUACUAGUAAAAUAUCCAGUCCUUUUUUCAUUGAGGGUAACUCAAAUGGUCCAGCGUAUUUAGAUUUAUUGGAAAAUAGUAUUACACCUGAGUUGGCUUGGAUAUUUCCAAAUCCAAACAAUAACAAUAUCCUAAACCAAAAUAUUUGGCUACAACAAGGUGGUGCCCCACUUCACUAUGCAUGUAUUAUGAGGCAAUACCUAAAUAAUGCGUUUCUCGGAAGAUGGAUUGGAAGGCGUAGUUUUAUCGAAUGGCCCCCGCGAUCACCCGACAUGAAUCCUUUGGACUAUUUCCUAUGAGGUCACUUAAAAAACAUCAUUUAUAAAACAAAACCUGCUAAUAUUCAGGAAUUAAAAGAUAAGAUUAGCACAGAUAAAAAAAAUUGAGUAGUCAGGGAUGUUGCAAAAUCUAUUGCCAAAUGUGAAUCUACUUUUAACAUGACACAAACAUUUAAAGAUUUGUCUUCAGUUGUUGUAGGUUUUCAGCGCCAUGAUUUGAAUAAAUAUUUUACUGUACCAGUUUCGUUAAACUUUUUACUAACUUACUAACACUAGACCUUGAUAGGAGAUUUGUAUUAGCACAUAAAUUUCAUCAAAGAAUAUUCAAAUUAAACGACUUUAUUCAAUCGUAAUCAUCUAAAUGUACAAUAUUUAUUGUAACUUUGGUGGAGAUACUGUAAAUGUAGCUAUAACUCUGAUAUUAUGGCAUUUAGGUAUAGAGAUAAUACAUGAAAAAUAAUCAGUAUUUCUUAAGGAUUUUUAAAAACCCAAAAUAUAUAGGGUAAUCCAUUUGCAAUAACAAAGUUCAUUAUUUUUCCAGAAAAUGGAAAGAACUCACAACAAUGUAGAUAUCACCAUAAUAUCAGCCGUAUCACAAGACCCUUGCUCACACAAAUUUAUAAAAAUCGUUCAAGCCGUUUUCCAGAUAAUUGUUGCGUUCCAUACAUACAGUUCACUCUAUAUUGAUUCAAAUAAAGAGUUUUGUUUGUUUUUCUGCCUUAUCAGAUGCAUUGAAAUAUCAUCUGCAAAUUCAUCAGAUAUAACUGAUUCAGAAAAUGAAAUUCCUAAGCCUUCAUAUGUUUUGGCACCGAGGGACCCUGUUUUAUUUCUGUCUUUCUGUUGGUAAAUGUUACCCCCAGAUAUUCAAUUCGGAUUUCCAGUAUUCUUUCCCAUUGUUCAUUUUUAUUAAUAAGUUGCUUAUUGGACUUUACGAGUUCCCUUCAAUUACCACACAUAAAUUCAUUCGAUUAGUUAUAAAAAAAAUUAUCAACCAUUAUACGUGAAUAAGUGCGAUUACAUAAACUUUAAAAGCCUUGGAACAGACAUAAGUUUUCAUUUCUUUUUAUUCUCGCCAUUUUAGUAAAUUCGAAGAUUUAAAAAAAAUCAAUGAAAUAAGAUGAUUUUUCGAUUACAUGGUACCAAAAAAACGAGGGGACCACGUCAGUAUAAAAUUACUCAGCAUACUCCUAAGAGUUUAAUUAUCAUAAACCAUAAAUUCUAAUUUAAAUUACUGAAUUUAGGAUGAAUGAAGUUUGUUAAUAAUGAUAAUGUUGUGAUAUAAACCAAAAUAAUAUAAACAAAUUCUCUAGAGUUUAUUUCAUUUUUUUCAAUUUCAAUAAAUGAUUCCUAAGA